rnacentral:lncRNA from 12 species
GGUGGGUAGAAGGUAUAUGCCUUCAACAGUUAACUUUGUUUUUAUGGUUUCCCUAGCCACCAGCUAAUAAUAUGUGCAAAUUUGACCAUCUAAACUACUCCCAAUAACUUCGCUGUUCACAGAAUGAUCUUUUAAGUGGAGUAUAUUACAAGAGAAAACAGCACAGCUCAUCCAUUUAGUACAGUACAACUUAUAAACGUGGAUCAUUCUCUCCCAUUCAUCAAAAUAGCAUAAAUUUCUGAUAAGCCCACUCCAGGCACCUUAUGCAGACGGAAGUAAGACUACUGUCUAGUUUAUCAAAAGGAAACAUGAGUAUAAUACUGGAAGUCAUAUCCUUCUCCCUCAUAAUGAGAAAACGAAAUUCACCAAAGAAAGAAUUUUUGCAUUACAUCCUGAGUGGAGAAACAGUCACUCCUCCAGAAGAAAUAAAUCCCAGAUAAAAUGAAUUAAACUGAAGGGG